AUUUACUUAAAUUUGAUAUAAAGAAAAGGAAAUUUUAUUACUGAUCACUUACAAUCAGUAACGAUAAAAGAAUCAUAUUAAUCAAAUGUUUACCUGCUUUGGAAUGUAGACAUGAACCUUCGACACGGCCGACUAACUAAACUGUACGAUGUAUACUGAACAGAAAGUAUGUAAAUGUUUGUCUACAAUUUCAACGUGGAUGUAGGUAAUUCUUAAAGAUACGAGAACCCAAAGUGAAAUGAUUAUGGCAUAGUAAUAUCAUUGAAAAAAAAUUAAUUUUAAAUGAACAGAAGUGGUAAAGAUGAAGGAAUACCUCUAACAAGUAUUAAUAUUCACGAAGCUAUAAUUUCCGAGACUUCGCAAAGUGUCCUUUGAUUAUAUAUUUCCUCUUUCUAAUGCUUCAUCAAGGAUGCAACAUAUUUCCAUUAAAAUAUCGCUACAACAUUGGUAUCAUUUAAAACAUAGGUUUCGCUACAAAAAAAAGAGUUUUUAAUCACGGUGAUUAAAAUAAAAUUUGGAAAUAAAUUCUGAGACGCACAGCGCUUAUAUAUACCGUUUAUCUUUUGAAUACAUUACUCACUGGCGUUAGAUUAUGUUUGCGUUUAACAGAAUGAUAAGCAACAGAGAAUUACUUUGUACUCGGAUAUAAUCCACCGCCUUAACUUAAACAAUUGAUCAAAAGACGUUGUUAAUCAUAAUCAUUCAUUCAAUAAUUGUUUUGAACGGUACUUGGUACUUUUUUCUGUGUAUUACAAGUAUAAACGUUCUGAAAAU